rnacentral:rRNA from 1 species
UCAGAUUGAACGCUGGCGGCAUGCUUUACACAUGCAAGUCGAACGGCAGCGCGGGGGCGAACCCUGGCGGCGAGUGGCGAACGGGUGAGUAAUGCAUCGGAACGUAUCCUGUAAUGGGGGAUAACGUAGCGAAAGUUACGCUAAUACCGCAUACGCUCGAGAGAGGAAAGUGGGGGAUCGCAAGACCUCACGUUAUAGGAGCGGCCGAUGUCCGAUUAGCUAGUUGGUGGGGUAAAGGCCUACCAAGGCGACGAUCGGUAGCUGGUCUGAGAGGAUGAUCAGCCACACUGGGACUGAGACACGGCCCAGACUCCUACGGGAGGCAGCAGUGGGGAAUUUUGGACAAUGGGCGAAAGCCUGAUCCAGCCAUGCCGCGUGCGGGAAGAAGGCCUUCGGGUUGUAAACCGCUUUAGUCCGGGAAAAAGGGGUGCGAGGAUAAUACCCUUGUGCUUUGAUGGUACUGGAAGAAUAAGCACCGGCUAACUACGUG